CUAUGGCUUAGUAUACAGGAUUAUAAGAAGAUGCUGCUAUGGGCUGAAUGUUUGUGCACUCCCACUCCCAAAAUUUCCAUGUUGAAGCCUAUUCUCCAAUGUGAUGAUAUUUGGAGGUGGGGCCUUUGAGAGAUAAUUAGCUCAUGAGGGUGGAGCCUAAAUGAAUGGGAUCAAUACCCUUUUCAAAAGAGGAGGAAGCGUGGGAUUCAAGUAAGAGGAUGACAUCCCUAAACCAGGAAGCAGGCCCUCACAAAACACCGGAUCUGCCAGCACCAGUGAUCUUGGACUUCUCAGUCUCCAGAACUGUGAGAAAUAAAUGCUUGUUUCAGCCACCCAGUUUAUGGAUUAAAUUUCUGCCAAGAAGUACAUGGUGACAAAGAACAGACACUCCAGAGACAGACCCUUUGGCUUCUAACCUGCCUUUCCCACUUAAUGGAGGCAUGACCUUGGGCUAUAUAUUCAUAAGACCUUUGAGACUGAAGGAGCUGGAAUGGAGAAGAGCUGACUGAAUGGCAAAGGCUUGGAGCAGGCUACAGGUAAAGAAUAUUAAGUCAAUAGAGUAUUGGCUUCUUUAAGACUGUUUCCCGAAGGCAAGAGGCACAAAGUUUCUGGAAGCAGCAGUGUACUCUGGCAUCCUCCACAUUCAUAAGUGUGAUUCCCCUGAGUAGGGACUACGUGGACCCUGGCAGAUGGAUGUCUGUGGAAAGAGUCCCACCAGCCACUCCACAAAGCUUUGGCUCCCUCCGUACCAGCCAGGACGACCAGGAAGAAAGACCUGGAUUGUGCAACCAUCACCACUAAUUUCAGAACAUUUUCAUCACUUUGAGAAGAAAUCCCUAUCCAUCUAUCUCCAUCUCUAUCAAACUGAAAUAAAAGUUUCAUGAAACAAUACCUUACCUAACUUACUAUGUGGGAUGAAUGCUGAUAAUGUCUUUUCUAUUCUACUCUGUUCCAUUUUAUCCCAUUCUUCCCAUUACUUUAGAAAAAAAAUCUUUCAGUGCCUCACUACAUUGAUUUCGUGUCUUAAUAUGGAGUUGUAGCUAACAGUUUGGGUUUCCAUGGGCUAGGGCCCAUGGCACAUCUACAGCACCAUUUUCUUCCCUCUCAAGACCCUCAGUGCACUGGCUACUACUUGGUAAGUGUCCAAGGCUUUAUAUACUUGUGUUUGACUGUUUCCCCAGGGCCAAGCACAGUGAUGAGCAAGUAGUGGGCACUCAAGAAAUAUUGGUUGACUAAAUAAAUGUUUGCCUUUGAAUGGGAAAAAAUAAACCCAUAUACUUUUUUUUUGGUGAGGGUUUAUGCAAGUAAAAUGAAAUGCAAUAAAGCUGUUAUACUGCACUUUUAACCAAUGAAGGCCAGGAGCUGUGUAGCCUCUUCCUCAAAAAUAAGGCCCUGAAAUAUCCAUAUAAUUAUCUCCAUGCUUCUUUUCACUUUGUCUUGUAAAGUCAGCUUGAGCAGCCCAGUCACGCAGAGGACCCUACAAGUGAACUCUAGCAAUGACAUGAGCAGUGGAGCCCACAACAAAAGCCUGUAGCAAAAGCUUUGCUUUGGGUGAGUCAGCCAGUGAUGACUUAUCCUCACCCUCCCCUGCAUCUUCUUCCCUGUGCCUUUGUACCUGUCUUUGCCAGUCUCCUGCUUGAAG
rnacentral:lncRNA from 10 species